ACGCUAGCGAUAGGCUUAACGCAUGCAAGUCGAGGGGCAGCACAAGAUAGCUUGCUAUCUGGGUGGCGACCGGCGCACGGGUGCGUAACGCGUAUGCAACUUGCCCUAUACAGGAGGAUAACCCGUCGAAAGACGGACUAAUACUGCGUAUGCUCACAACUUGGCAUCAAGUAGUGAGGAAAGAAAUUCGGUAUAGGAUAGGCAUGCGUCCCAUUAGCUUGUUGGUGAGGUAACGGCUCACCAAGGCGACGAUGGGUAGGGGAACUGAGAGGUUUAUCCCCCACACUGGUACUGAGACACGGACCAGACUCCUACGGGAGGCAGCAGUGAGGAAUAUUGGUCAAUGGGCGAGAGCCUGAACCAGCCAAGUCGCGUGAAGGAUGACUGUCUUAUGGAUUGUAAACUUCUUUUAUACGGGAAUAACAAGAGUCACGUGUGAGUCCCUGCAUGUACCGUAUGAAUAAGCAUCGGCUAACUCCGUGCCAGCAGCCGCGGUAAUACGGAGGAUGCGAGCGUUAUCCGGAUUUAUUGGGUUUAAAGGGUGCGUAGGCGGUUUGUUAAGUCAGCGGUGAAAUCUAGAGGCUCAACCUCGAAACUGCCGUUGAAACUGGCGAACUUGAGUGUAGAUGAGGUAGGCGGAAUUCGUGGUGUAGCGGUGAAAUGCAUAGAUAUCACGAGGAACUCCGAUUGCGAAGGCAGCUUACUAAGGUACAACUGACGCUGAAGCACGAAAGCGUGGGUAUCAAACAGGAUUAGAUACCCUGGUAGUCCACGCAGUAAACGAUGAUAACUGGGCGUAUGCGAUAUACAGUAUGCUCCUAAGCGAAAGCGUUAAGUUAUCCACCUGGGGAGUACGCCGGCAACGGUGAAACUCAAAGGAAUUGACGGGGGCCCGCACAAGCGGAG
rnacentral:rRNA from 1 species